UACGUAGGGUGCAAGCGUUAAUCGGAAUUACUGGGCGUAAAGCGUGCGCAGGCGGUUUUGUAAGUCUGUCGUGAAAUCCCCGGGCUCAACCUGGGAAUUGCGAUGGAGACUGCAAGGCUAGAAUCUGGCAGAGGGGGGGUAGAAUUCCACGUGUAGCAGUGAAAUGCGUAGAGAUGUGGAGGAACACCGAUGGCGAAGGCAGCCCCCUGGGUCAAGACUGACGCUCAUGCACGAAAGCGUGGGGAGCAAACAGG
rnacentral:rRNA from 1 species